UGGGGAAUCUUGGACAAUGGGCGCAAGCCUGAUCCAGCCAUGCCGCGUGAGUGAUGAAGGCCCUAGGGUUGUAAAGCUCUUUCAACGGUGAAGAUAAUGACGGUAACCGUAGAAGAAGCCCCGGCUAACUUUGUGCCAGCAGCCGCGGUAAUACGAAGGGGGCUAGCGUUGUUCGGAAUUACUGGGCGUAAAGCGCACGUAGGCGGAUACUUAAGUCAGGGGUGAAAUCCCGGGGCUCAACCCCGGAACUGCCUUUGAUACUGGGUAUCUGGAGUCCGGAAGAGGUGAGUGGAAUUCCGAGUGUAGAGGUGAAAUUCGUAGAUAUUCGGAGGAACACCAGUGGCGAAGGCGGCUCACUGGUCCGGUACUGACGCUGAGGUGCGAAAGCGUGGGGAGCAAACAGGAUUAGAUACCCUCGUAGUCCCUGAGCGGGCUGGCAAGGCGCAU
rnacentral:rRNA from 1 species